GACAGGAGCAGGUCGGGGAAGCAGGGGCGAGGAGAGGUGGUCAAACUGCAGCAUGGCUGAGCUGUAGGGGGCAAAGGCAAGCAGAGGCAGAAACUCGUAGGAUCGGCAUAGGCGAGGGAGGAGGAUUCUUGGAUUCAUCGUGGAUAGGCGACAUGGCAUCAGUCUCCUUGGUUCCUUUCAUCCUCGGGAUCUCCUAACAGGAGGCAGAUCAGCAUCUCCACCCUUCCUGUUGCCGAUGGCGUGCCAUCAGAAGAGAGGGCCUCCCUGUUACCGAGUACACAGAGGCUGGCGAGGAUGGGUUGUGCUGCACUGAGGAUGUUGGAAUUUGAGUUAUUCCUCAUAAACAUUAAGACUUAUGGAUUAGCAGUGUUGCUGGUUAGUAAGCAGUUGGAUAUGAAAAUGUCAGAAGACUCUCCCUUUUUUUUUUUUUUUUUACUAAAUUUUUUUUUGCUGAGAAACCAAUCUGUUUAUCUCCGGAGACAAUGAGAAGUAAAUUUUUAUUACUAUUUAUUCUUGUACUCGUGUAUGUUAUAUGCAAGGAGAGACUAGGAGGAAUAUAAAGUUUAAUUCACGUGUAGUGUUCAAUAAGAUCAAGAAUUCUUAUGGGGGAAAACUAAUUUUGGACAAAUGAGGAUACUGACAAGCAGGAGUUUGAGCACUGGGAUCCUGCUAAGAAUUUUGAAGACUUGAGUGGUUGUGAAACCUGGAUUGUUAGUAAGGAAAUGAAAAAGAGACUGGAGGCAGCAGAGAUGUGGUUCAUCAGAAGAAUUAUGAGGGUCCCAUGAAUGGCAAGGACAAACCAGCAAGUGUUACAGAUGGCCCGCACAACGGAGUUGAUGACCACAGUGAAAAGGAGACAGCUUGGGUAUCUGGGGCAUGUUUUGAGGGGGGAUGGUCUUGAGAGAGACUGUCUCUUGGGGAUGAUCGAGAGGGGGGAUGGUCUUGAGAGAGACUGUCUCUUGGGGAUGAUCGAGGGAAAGAGCACGAGGGAGACAGAGGAUGAAGUACAUGGAUGGAACCAAGGAGAUGGUGGGAAGAGAGAAGAUGGAAGUAGUGGAGUUGGCUAGGAACAGAAGAGUGUGGCACUCCAUUGUCGCAAAAGUCACCUGACAUGGCGCUGCGGUAGGUAGGUAGUGUCCAAGGAGUAUGGAAGGAUUAUAAAAUUUAAUGGUAGUGUUCAAGGAGUCUCUUGGGAGGAUUAUAAAAUUUACUGGUGUUAAAAAUAUAUAGUCUAUAUAAAGUUUUUUUACGUCUAAUAUAUUGGAAGACUGAGGAAGCCUAUUUUAAUACAAAGGAAGUCUCGUGAAUAAUCUCAAUUUGUGAAUACAAAAUUUCAUGAUUUGUAAAAUUUUUAGAAUACAAUACUUUUGAAUACAAAAAAUAUUAAUAAAACUUUAGUUCAUAA